AUUGAACGCUGGCGGCAGGCCUAAAACAUGCAAGUCGAACGAGUGGCGGACGGGUGAGUAAGGUCUGGGAAACUGCCUGAUGGAGGGGGAUAACUACUGGAAACGGUAGCUAAUACCGCAUACCAUCAGAUGUGCCCAGAUGGGAUUAGCUAGUAGGUGGGGUAACGGCACACCUAGGCCACGAUCCCUAGCUGGUCUGAGAGGACGACAAGCCACACUGGAACUGAGACACGGUCCAUACUCCUACGGGAGGCCGCAGUGGGGAAUAUUGCACAAUGGGAGCAAGCCUGGUGCAGCCAUGCCGCGUGUGUGAAGAAGGCCUUCGGGGUGUAAAGCACUUUCAGCGGGGAGGCGUUACCCGCAGAAGAAGCACCGGCUAACUCCGUGCCAGCAGCCGCGGUAAUAC
rnacentral:rRNA from 1 species